CCGACGAGAGCGAACACGGCAUCGUCGAGCCAUCGAAAAUCCUCAGCAGCUAGCACGAUCGACCAGCCACCAGCAUGGCCACCGCGCGAGCAGUACGCCUCAUUGCCUCAAGACCACCAUCUACCAAUCUCCGCAGCCUCGUCGUCGUACCAGGGCGACGCCGCCUCCUGUCCACCUCGACGGAAGCGGGUGGCGCAGGCGAUCCAUCCGUGCAUUCCGGCGACCCGCCGAGUGACGACUACCCCGACCGUCCUCCCAAGUUCUCCGGCGCCGAGGAGGCCACCGGAGGCGGCGACCACGGAAAGAACCCGUCGACGGCGGCAGCAACGCCGUCGGAAUCCACCAAGGAGCGCGUCCCGCCGUUCGCUAUGUCUGACAAGCUUGGGUCCCAAGAGCUCGCCGACCCGGCGGGAGGCUCGUCGUUCACGCAGAAGCGGCGGCGGUCGUCGUCGUCCCGGCCAGCUGACUCGCGCGAGGAGGCGACGCCAGGGGGCGAGGAGGCGGCGGGGCGGAAAGUGAGGGAGGAGGACAGGGAGUACUACCAGACGCACAAGCCGUCGCCUCUCGCGGAGCUGGAGUUCGCGGACACGAGGAAGCCGAUCACGCGUGCCACGGACGGCGGCAGUGCCGCGGACAGGUUGUCGGACGUACCCGGGAAGGUGGCGGAGGACACGGCGGACGAUUCGCUGGCGCGCGCUGAGGCCAUGUUCCGCGAGGUAACCCCGAGUGGCCGCACUCGCGCGCGCUCGCGGAGAUGCUGGCGCGGCGCCGCGGCGAAGGAGACGCUGCGGGGAGCAGGAGCAGUGCGCCUUGGGGAAGCUAGUCAGGCGUCAGCUGAUCCGCGGGAAUGUAGACGUGCAGUAGUAGCAUGGGGGGUAUGCAAGAAAAAAUGUUACUCCUGCUGCGUCUACUGAUCCUAUGCCAAGAACUAAAGGGUGCACUCGAUCUUAUGUUAAAAUUGCAGAUGUUCCUUUUCUCAAUUUGAUAUGUUGCUGUGUUCAUAUGCGCCGUCGUAUCAUCGUUUUUGUUUUUUGAUGUUUGUCUCGUGGCACGCAUAUUGUAUAGCAGGUUUCUGGAACCGUGUUGGCUUAUUUUCACGUUUACAGGUUA